rnacentral:rRNA from 1 species
UACGAAGGUCCCAAGCGUUAUCCGGAUUUAUUGGGUUUAAAGGGUGCGUAGGCGGGUUAUUAAGUCAGUGGUGAAAGCCUUCAGCUUAACUGAAGAACUGCCAUUGAUACUGAUGAUCUUGAGUAUGAUUGAGGUGGGCGGAAUGUGUCAUGUAGCGGUGAAAUGCUUAGAUAUGACACAGAACACCGAUUGCGAAGGCAGCUCACUAAGC